GGUCCGUAGGCGGCUUAAUAAGUCAGUGGUGAAAUCCCUACGCUUAACGUAGGAACGGCCAUUGAUACUGUUAGGCUUGAAUUAUUAGGAAGUAACUAGAAUAUGUAGUGUAGCGGUGAAAUGCUUAGAGAUUACAUGGAAUACCAAUUGCGAAGGCAGGUUACUACUAAUGGAUUGACGCUGAUGGACGAAAGCGUGGGUAGCGAACAGGAUUAGAUACCCUGGUAGUCCACGCCGUAAACGAUGGAUACUAGCUGUUGGGCGCAAGUUCAGUGGCUAAGCGAAAGUGAUAAGUAUCCCACCUGGGGAGUACGUUCGCAAGAAUGAAACUCAAAGGAAUUGACGGGGGCCCGCACAAGCGGUGGAGCAUGUGGUUUAAUUCGAUGAUACGCGAGGAACCUUACCAAGGCUUAAAUGUAAAUUGACCGAUUUGGAAACAGAUCUUUCGCAAGACAAUUUACAAGGUGCUGCAUGGUUGUCGUCAGCUCGUGCCGUGAGGUGUCAGGUUAAGUCCUAUAACGAGCGCAACCCCUGUUGUUAGUUGCCAGCGAGUCAAGUCGGGAACUCUAACAAGACUGCCAGUGCAAACUGUGAGGAAGGUGGGGAUGACGUCAAAUCAUCACGGCCCUUACGCCUUG
rnacentral:rRNA from 1 species